rnacentral:rRNA from 1 species
AACGAACGCUGGCGGCAGGCCUAACACAUGCAAGUCGAGCGAAGCCUUCGGGCUUAGCGGCGGACGGGUGAGUAACGCGUGGGAACGUGCCCUUUGGUACGGAAUAGCCCCGGGAAACUGGGAGUAAUACCGUAUGCGCCCUUCGGGGGAAAGAUUUAUCGCCAAAGGAUCGGCCCGCGUUGGAUUAGGUAGUUGGUGGGGUAAUGGCCUACCAAGCCGACGAUCCAUAGCUGGUUUGAGAGGAUGAUCAGCCACACUGGGACUGAGACACGGCCCAGACUCCUACGGGAGGCAGCAGUGGGGAAUCUUAGACAAUGGGGGGAAACCCUGAUCUAGCCAUGCCGCGUGAUCGAUGAAGGCCUUAGGGUUGUAAAGAUCUUUCAGUGGGGAAGAUAAUGACUGUACCCACAGAAGAAGCCCCGGCUAACUCCGUGCCAGCCGCCGCCGUAACAC